rnacentral:rRNA from 1 species
CCUACGGGUGGCAGCAGUGCGGAAUAUUGGUCAAUGGCCGGACGGCUGAACCAGCCAUGCCGCGUGAAGGUCAGUGCCCUAUGGGCGUUAAACUUCUUUUGUGCGGGAGCAAUAAUGGUCACGUGUGGCCAGACGAGAGUACCGUACGAAUAAGCAUCGGCUAACUCCGUGCCAGCAGCCGCGGUAAUACGGGGGAUGCAAGCGUUAGCCGGAUGUAUUGGGUUUAAAGGGUGCGUAGGCUGUGAGGUAAGUCAGCGGUGAAAUGCCCCCGCGCAACGGGGUGAAGUGCCAUGGAUACUGACUUGAUGGAAUGCGGAUGCCGUGGGAGGAAGGUGUGGUGGAGCGGGGAAAUGCAUAGAUAUCACACAGAACACCGAUUGCGAAGGCAGCUCACGAAUCCGCGAUUGACGCGGAUGCACGAAAGCGUGGGUAUCAAACAGGAUUAGAGACCCUUGUAGUC